UGGACUAUACAACAGUAGUGGAGAAGAAGCAAGAAGUCUUAGCUGGCGGGGAUUAAGAGAAACAGUGGCGGACUGUCAUGUAUAUUGUAUAUCUAAUAACUACGCAAAUAUAAAAAAACUUUCUAAUUACUACCUGUGGCGAAGAAAAAUGAAAAGUUAAAUACUAUAAGGAAAAGCUAAAUGAGGUUCGAUUUACAUGCUGCCCCAGUCAAUUUUCCGGACUUAUAUGGCUGUAUAAAAAUAAAAAAUAAAAUAAAUCGAAAUUCCUUUUCCAAAAA